AGCAGCCGCGGUAAUUCCAGCUCCAAUAGCGUAUAUUAAAGUUGUUGCAGUUAAAAAGCUCGUAGUUGAAUUUCGGGGUUAGUAGGUUGGUCAUGCCUCUGGUAUGUACUGGUCUCACUGAUUCCUCCUUCCUGAUGAAUCUUAAUGCCAUUAAUUUGGUGUUUUGGGGAAUUUGGACUGUUACUUUGAAAAAAUUAGAGUGUUUAAAGCAAGCUAACGCUUGAAUACAUUAGCAUGGAAUAAUGAAAUAGGACGUUCGAUCCUAUUUUGUUGGUUUCUAGGGUUGACGUAAUGAUUAAUAGGGAUAGUUGGGGGCAUUAGUAUUCAAUUGUCAGAGGUGAAAUUCUUGGAUUUAUUGAAGACUAACUACUGCGAAAGCAUUUGCCAAGGAUGUUUUCAUUAAUCAAGAACGAAAGUUAGGGGAUCGAAGACGAUCAGAUACCGUCGUAG
rnacentral:rRNA from 1 species